GGAAUAUAAAAACCCCUUUAUUAACUUUUAAUUAUAAAAGCUAAGAAUCGGUUCUUAAAUAUCUUAUUUAAGAACCGAUUUUUAGUUUUUUUAGUUAAAAGUUAAGAGACGGGUUUUUAUAUUUC
rfam:Brassica napus, WGS project CCCW01000000 data, contig: 15498